rfam:Cajanus cajan CcLG06_437, whole genome shotgun sequence.
CUAACAGAGUUUAUUGGCAUUCUGUCCACCUCCGCUUCUUCUUCUUCUUUCUCACCCACAAGCUUGGAGGUGGGCAUACUGCCAACUGAUCUCUGUUAA